UCUCCUCAAAGUUUGGACAUUUGACUAGAAUACAACUUUGAUUCAGCACAGAAUUCAAUAAUCCUGUGGAUGGACCACAGCGAGUCCUUUUGCAGUUAUCCAUCAAAAUGCUUUGCAGACAUAAUGGAAAUGACAUUCACAUUGUAGAGCUUGGACGAAGUUCACACAGGCUCUGCGCAGGAAUUCAUCAAGGACAUGACUGCUGGGAUUACACUUGUGGA